rnacentral:rRNA from 1 species
UACAGAGGGGGGCAAGCGUUGUUCGGAAUUACUGGGCGUAAAGGAGCUACGUAGGCGGCCUGUCGCGUCAAUUUGUGAAAGGCCCGGGGCUUAACCCCGGGUCUGCAGUCGAUACGGGGCAGGCUAGGAGUGUGGUAGGGGAGAGUCGGAAUUCCUGGUGUAGCGGUGAAAUGCGCAGAUAUCAGGAGGAACACCGGUGGCGAAGGCGGAUCUCUGGGCCAUUACUGACGCUGAGGAGCGAAAGCGUGGGGAGCGAACAGG